rnacentral:lncRNA from 1 species
AUAUAGCAUGAACUACAUGUUGAUCAUAUCAACAUGUUUCUAUACUACAUCUAAUGUAUGUAUUAAACAAUAGAUCAGAUCUAUUACCUUGCAAGUUAGACAUUCUAACCUCGCUGAUCUGGGCUUGAGGAUGAUGCUGCAAGCCGCACAUGCAUCCGGCCUCUAGGAGUCGUCCACACGAGCUCACGAAUCUUGAUCAGAAGUCCUGCUUCAGGAAAUCAGCACAGUAUGCUAGUACUGCGCUGAUCCUUCUUUGAUGGUUGAUC